UACGUAGGGUGCAAGCGUUAAUCGGAAUUACUGGGCGUAAAGCGUGCGCAGGCGGCUUUGCAAGACAGAUGUGAAAUCCCCGGGCUCAACCUGGGAACUGCAUUUGUGACUGCAUAGCUAGAGGUACGGUAGAGGGGGAUGGAAAUUCCGACGUGUAGCAGUGAAAUGCGGUAGAUAUGCGGAGGACACCGAUGGCGAAGGCAAUCCCCUGGACCUGUAC
rnacentral:rRNA from 1 species